UCCUACGGGACGCAGCAGUGAGGAAUAUUGGUCAAUGGGCGAGAGCCUGAACCAGCCAAGUCGCGUGAGGGAGUACUGCCCUAUGGGUUGUAAACCUCUUUUGUCGGGGAGCAAAAGCCGGACGUGUCCGGCUGUGAGAGUACCCGAAGAAAAAGCAUCGGCUAACUCCGUGCCAGCAGCCGCGGUAAUACGGAGGAUGCGAGCGUUAUCCGGAUUUAUUGGGUUUAAAGGGUGCGCAGGCGGACCAUCAAGUCAGCGGUAAAAUCGUGGGGCCCAACCCCAUCCCGCCGUUGAAACUGGCGGUC
rnacentral:rRNA from 1 species